ensembl:snRNA U6 U6 spliceosomal RNA
GUGCUCACUUCAGCAGCACAUAUACUGAAAGUGGAACAGUACAGAGAAGAUUAACACGGCCCCUGCACAAGGAUGACACACAAAUUCAUGAAGCAGUCUGUAUUUUU